UUGUUUGUUUGUUUGUUUGUUUGACAUGGACUUUCACUCUUGUCACCCAGGCUGGAGUGCACUGGCAUGAUCUCGGCUCACUGCAACCUCCGCCUCCCGGGUUCAAGUGAUUCUCCAGCCUCAGCCUCCUGAGUAGCUGGGAUUACAGGCACACGCCACCAUGUCCGGCUAAUUUUCAUAUUUUCAGUAGAGAUGGGGUUUCACCAUGUUGGCCAGGCUGGUCUUGAACUCCUGACCUCAAGUGAUCCGCUCGCCUCGGCCUCCCAAAGUGCUGGGAUUACAGGUGUAAGCCACCGCGCCCAGCCUGAUAUAUUUAUAUUUUGUAAAAAUCUUCCUCAUAUGUGGGUCUAAGGCCACCAUCAGCCUUUCUACGAAGCCUUUCAAAACUUCCAGUUUGCAUAGACUGCUCACUUUUAUCUACAGUCUCACUUAUGUCUCUUCUACCAUUUAUCAUAGUUUAUAGUGUAUUUAUUACCGGUGUAGUUAACAUUUCCCUCAAUCCUUGAAGGUAGGGAAAAAUCUUACCUUUUUUUUUUUUUGAGACGGAGUCUUGCCCUGUUGCCAGGCUGGAGUGCAGUGGCACAAUCUCGGCUCACUGCAACCUCCACCUCCCAGGUUCAAGCGAUUCUCCUGCCUCAGCCUCCCAAGUAGCUGGGACUGCAGGUGUGCGCCACCAUGUCCAGCUAAUUUUUGUAUUUUUAGUAGAGACAGGAUUUCACCAUGUUGGCCAGGCUGGUCUCUAUUUCUUGACCUCAUGAUCCUCCCGCCUUGGCCUCCCAAAGUGCUGGGAUUACAGGCGUGAGCCACAGCACCUGGCCAUCUUACCCAUUUUUAUAUCCUGCUGCCCACCCCCUCCAGCAACUAGGCCUGCACCUAGAAAGAUAUUAUCAAAUGUCCCUGCCACAUCCCUGCCAGUAUCCCUGUCUGUCCCCAGCCAGCCCACACAACGGAUGCACAGAAAGGACCUGUCUUCUUUGACAAAGGAGGCUGAUGAUCUAAUACUCUCUUCUGACUUCCUAGCUUGAAUGCUGUUCCAUCUCUUCCUCCCACAGACCAGGACUCAAAGGGCAGCGCAUUUUCUCUGGAAAGACCCAUGUCAUAAUGCACCUUUGUAUGAAGCAGCAACCUUUGCACUGUCUCCAGUUAGUACUUUCAGAGGAAUUAGCUUAUCAGAGUAACUAGUUGGCACCUUAACAGGCAUGCAGAAUCUGACUCAGGAACAGAGACUCAAGAGAACUAAGGUGCAGUAGGAAGCAGGUGGCAGAGUGAAGAUAAGCAGGAACAUUUCCUACCUAUAGUUGAGCAGUUUCAUGCUACAUCAUGGUGGAUCCCUCCCAAGUCACCACUGCCUAACAUUCCACAGAAUAUAGUUGAAAGAAUUGAAGAUGCAGAGUACUGAGCCCUCCACCUGCAAAUGCAUACAGCCAUGAACAGAUGGGUGUAAACUGAGGCAGUGGAGGGAGAGGGGUACUCCCAAGCCCUGAAAAUCUCAGAGUAAGAGGCCACCGACGACAGCGCUCACCGGUGCUGAGCUCCCUUCUACAGAAACCUGCAAAGACUCAGAUCGAGGAGGAAAUACACCAGGAAAAUGUCACAGGAUCAUCUCGAGCAGUCCCUUCCAGCGCCAAGCCAUUCAUUCAAGAAUGACUCAGGGCCGGGCGUGGUGGCUCACACCUGUAAUCCCAGCACUUUGGGAGGCCGAGGCAGGCGGAUCACGAGGUCAAGAGACUGAGAUCAUCCUGGCUAAUAUGAAUCUGUCAUCUCUAAAGGAAAAGCAGAAACAAACCACAGAACCAGGGGAGCUGGCUGAUAAUGAGUCACAUUGCUGCUGGCAGUUCUCCACUCAGUCCUCUGGCCUCUGCAUCUGGGACUUCUUGCUUGUCCUUCAAGAUCCACUGCAAAAAUGUCUUGUCUCCACAAAGGCUUCCUUGACUGCAUCCCCAGCCACCCCACACCCUGCAAGCUUCCAUUGCAUCCAGCACAAGAUCCACUACUGCCAUGUAUUGCACUAAGUGGAAACUGGUCAGGUUGUGGGGUCCCAAUCAGCCUGUGAGCUUCAGAAGGCAGGCAUUGUGUCUCAUGGACCUAGCCCAAAACAGAAGUGUCUAUGGAAAUAGUGUGAUGACCUGAGUAAAAUAUGGGUGGAAUGUGACAUAGGCAUUUAAGAAAUCUAUAUAUUGACAUACAAAAAACAGUUUAUUAAAAGGUUGUGUAGGUAGAA